GAUGAACGCUGGCGGCGUGCCUAAUACAUGCAAGUCGAGCGAACGGACGAGAAGCUUGCUUCUCUGAUGUUAGCGGCGGACGGGUGAGUAACACGUGGAUAACCUACCUAUAAGACUGGGAUAACUUCGGGAAACCGUAGCUAAUACCGGAUAAUAUUUUGAACCGCAUGGUUCAAAAGUGAAAGACGGUCUUGCUGUCACUUAUAGAUGGAUCCGCGCUGCAUUAGCUAGUCGGUAAGGUAACGGCUUACCAAGGCAACGAUGCAUAGCCGACCUGAGAGGGUGAUCGGCCACACUGGAACUGAGACACGGUCCAGACUCCUAUGGGAGGCAGCAGUAGGGAAUCUUCCGCAAUGGGCGAAAGCCUGACGGAGCAACGCCGCGUGAGUGAUGAAGGUCUUCGGAUCGUAAAACUCUGUUAUUAGGGAAGAACAUAUGUGUAAGUAACUGUGCACAUCUUGACGGUACCUAAUCAGAAAGCCACGGCUAACUACGUG
rnacentral:rRNA from 1 species